AUGGAAGAGCAGGCACCUCCUGUUCCAACAUCUCGAAUUUCAGUCAGAAAAGCAGUAGAAGUAAUCCAGACAUUUGACGAUUACAAAAGGUGGCUCCUCACUGAAAUUGGGUUUGGUGGAAUCUUAAAGCUAACCAUGUUGCAGAAGCUUAAUCUUAAGUUCAGCGCAUGGACUAUGAGCAAGGUCUGUGUUGAGCGUCGAGCAAUUGUUCUAUCAGAAACAAAAGUACUCAAGUUUUUUGCGGAGGACAUCCACAAGGUGUUCGGCAUACCAUGUGGCCACCGGAAUGUUAAAGGCCGCGAUGGGUUCAUCAAGCCAGAGGCUGUGACCUUCAUAAAGAGGACGCUAGGGAUGGACAGGACGGGUGUGCAUAGUCUACGCGCGGCUGAGGAAUUCGUUAUGCGCGACAUUUCUGAGGCGUCCAGCAAGAUAGAGAAGGAUUGCUUCCAAAUUGCAUUUGUCAUUUUUGAUAUGGGACACGUUCUGGCACCUAGGACAAAACACGAUUAUGGCACCAUAGACUAUUGGGGUGCACUUGCAAACACGGAGAAUAUCACGCAAUAUAAUUGGUGUGAGUUUGUACUGGAGUUUUCGCUCGAGGCAGUCCGGCGGCUUAGGAAUGAUAUGAUGGCCAACAACCAUAGUACAAACCUGGUUGGUUGCCACUUGUUUCUCUAG
rnacentral:rRNA from 1 species